rnacentral:sRNA from 2 species
CACGGCCAUCCGCCGAGUCCGGUGCCUCCGGAGCCGGGGACCCACCGAACUUGGGGUGAAUCGGCCCGACCUCCCGUCCUGGGAGCGGCCGUAGGGCAACCCUUCCGAACCACCCGCCCGAACCCGACAGCUAACUCGGUAGGCGGAGCAUGGAAGGAGU